ACGGGCGCGAGGAGGCUGCAGACGGGAUGAGUUCGCCCUUCAUGUUGAUGGGGCCGGCGCGGGGCAAACGCUACGGCACCUGAACUCACGACAAAACCAGAUCCAUGGUCCCCAGGACAGCUGCGCUAAACAUCUGGCAACUGGUAUGGGAUUCUCCCAAGCUGCACUGGGAACUUCCCGGAGCCCCCAAGGAUCCUCUCUGCAGAGAAAGAUGCCAAGGACAGAGAUGUGUUGUGCUUUAAGAGAUGAGCCAUCACAGAGGCACUACAGGAAAGCACAUCAAAAUGCAGAACUGUGGAGGCCAGUUCCAGAGUGUGAGGAGCGGGUGUGGCAGCAGUCCCAAGAUGGAGCCCAGGACUGCAGCUAAGUCUUAUGACUU